rnacentral:rRNA from 1 species
UACAGAGGUCUCAAGCGUUUGUUCGGGAUUCAUUAGGCGUAAAGGGUGCGUAGGCGGCGCGGUAAGUCGGGUGUGAAAUCUCGGAGCUUAACUCCGAAACUGCAUUCGAUACUGCCGUGCUUGAGGACUGGAGAGGAGACUGGAAUUUACGGUGUAGCGGUGAAAUGCGUAGAUAUCGUAAGGAAGACCAGUGGCGAAGGCGGGUCUCUGGGA